rnacentral:rRNA from 1 species
UAGGGAAUUUUCCACAAUGGACGAAAGUCUGAUGGAGCAACACCGCGUGCAGGAUGAAGGCCUUCGGGUUGUAAACUGCUUUUAUAAGUGAAGAUUAUGACGGUAACUUAUGAAUAAGGAUCGGCUAACUCCGUGCCAGCAGCCGCGGUCAUACGGAGGAUCCAAGCGUUAUCCGGAAUUACUGGGCGUAAAGAGUUGCGUAGGCGGCAGAGUAAGUAGGUAGUGAAAUGACGGGGCUCAACCCCGUGUCCAUUAUCUAAACUGCUCAGCUAGAGAAUGAGAGAGGUGGCUGGAAUUUCUAGUGUAGGAGUGAAAUCCGUAGAUAUUAGAAGGAACACCGAUGGCGUAGGCAGGCCACUGGCUCAUUUCUGACGCUCAGGCACGAAAGCGUGGGGAGCGACCGGG